GAUGAACGCUGGCGGCGUGCCUAAUACAUGCAAGUCGAGCGAACAGACGAGGAGCUUGCUCCUCUGACGUUAGCGGCGGACGGGUGAGUAACACGUGGAUAACCUACCUAUAAGACUGGGAUAACUUCGGGAAACCGGAGCUAAUACCGGAUAACAUGUUGAACCGCAUGGUUCAACAGUGAAAGACGGUUUUGCUGUCACUUAUAGAUGGAUCCGCGCCGCAUUAGCUAGUUGGUAAGGUAACGGCUUACCAAGGCAACGAUGCGUAGCCGACCUGAGAGGGUGAUCGGCCACACUGGAACUGAGACACGGUCCAGACUCCUACGGGAGGCAGCAGUAGGGAAUCUUCCGCAAUGGGCGAAAGCCUGACGGAGCAACGCCGCGUGAGUGAAGAAGGUCUUCGGAUCGUAAAACUCUGUUAUUAGGGAAGAACAAAUGUGUAAGUAACUAUGCACGUCUUGACGGUACCUAAUCAGAGAGCCACGGCUAACUACGUG
rnacentral:rRNA from 1 species